ACCAUAUGCUGGUGCAGUUGGCCCUGGGUUCCUCCUAAUGCAAGACAAUGCUAGACCUCAUGUGGCUGGAGUGUGUCAGCAGUUCCUGCAAGAGGAAGGCAUUGAUGCUAUGGACUGGCCCGCCCAUUCCCCAGACCUGAAUCCAAUUGAGCACAUCUGGGACAUCAUGUCUCGCGCCAUCCACCAACGCCACGUUGCACCACAGACUGUCCAGGAGUUGGCGGAUGCUUUAGUCCAGGUCUGGGAGGAGAUCCCUCAGGAGACCAUCCGCCACCUCAUCAGGAGCAUGCCCAGGCGUUGUAGGGAGGUCAUACAGGCACGUGGAGGCCACACACACUACUGAGCCUCAUUUUGACUUGUUCUAAGGACAUUACAUCAAAGUUGGAUCAGCCUGUAGUGUGGUUUUCCACUUUCAUUUUGAGUGUGACUCCAAAUCCAGACCUCCAUGGGUUGAUAAAUUUGAUUUCCAUUGAUAAUUUUUGUGUGAUUUUGUUGUCAGCACAUUCAACUAUGUAAAGAAAAAAGUAUUUAAUAAGAAUAUUUCAUUCAUUCAGAUCUAGGAUGUGUUAUUUUAGUGUUCCCUUUAUUUUUUUGAGCAGUGUAUUAUUCCAGCAAUUCAAACUUGUUUUGAAAUAAUUCCUUUAGUUGUCUUUGUGUAAUUGUUACCCAUUUGUACUGUAUUGUGCUGUUACGUCCGUCGUUGAAUGAAUGAGACCAAAUCGCAGAAAGUGUUCAUGAUAAUUUAAUAUUGAACCACCGACAAAACAACAAAAUAAAAACAAACGUAAAGUUCUGCAGGACUAUACAGCUAGGGUGGAAAACAGGGUGACUAACUAAAUAUGAUUCCCAAUCAGAGACAACGAUAGACAGCUGCCUCUGAUUGGGAACCAUACCCAGCCAACAAAGAAAUAGAAAACUAGAAUGCCCACCCAAAUCACACCCUGACCUAAUCAAAUAGAGAAAUAAAAAGGCUCUCUAAGGUCAGGGUGUGACAUGUGCAGUACUUCCUGUUCACUGUGUAGCCUUUCAUCUCCUCAUGGUUUUGUCUCUGGUCACUGCAGCAGAGGGCUCUUUAUCACCAGUUCUGCCUGCUGGUGCCAUCAUUAGGAUUGUGAUUAGAGUAUUGCUGGUUGUGGGAGGGGCAGUUGGUGUUGCAGUGUUAUUCAUCAGGAAAAAUGGAACCAAUGCUGAGCCAAUGCAUCGAGGAGGUUCUCAACAACCUGUAUAUGAGAACCCUUCAUCUGUAUGUGAAAACCCACAACAAAAUCAAUCUCCACCUCUACCCCUGACAGAAAUGCAGGACUUCAAGAGUACGUAUGAUACUAGGAUAAUGUGAGAGAAGUCAAUGGAAAAGACCUCCAUUCAACCACCAUUGACAGCAUUGCACACUCUUGGCAUUCUCUCAACCAGCUUCACCUGGAAUGUUUUUCCAACAGUCUUGAAGGAGUUCCCACAUAUGCUGAGCACUUGUUGGCUGCUUUUCCUUCUCUCUGCGGCCCAACUCAUCCCAAACCAUCUCAAUUGGGUUGAGGCCGGGUGAUUGUGGAGUCCAGCUAAUUUGAUGCAGUACUCCAUCACUCUCCUUCUUGGUCAAAUAGCCCUUACACAGCCUGGAUGUGUGCUGGGUCAUUGUCCUUUAGAAAAACAAAUUAUAGUCCCACUAAGCGGCAGGUAGCCUAGUGGUUGCUCGAUCGAAUCCCCGCGAUCGAAUCCCCGAGCUGACAAGGUAAAAAUCUGUCGUUCUGUGCCUGAACAAGGCAGUUAUCGCACAGGCCUUCAUUGUAAAUAAGAUUUUUUUCUUAACUGACUUGCCUAGUUAAAUUUUUAAAAAUACAGAGAAAAAUAAGCGCAAACCAGAUGGGAUGUGGUAUCGCUGCAAAAUGCUGUGGUAGCCAUGGUGGUUAAGUGUGCCUUGAAUUCUAAAUAAAUCACUGACAGUAUCACCAGCAAAGCCCCAUCACACCUCCUCCUCCAUGCUUCAAGGUAGGAACCAAAAAUGCGGAAAUCAUCUGUUCACCCACUCUGUGUCUCACAAAGACAAGGCGGUUGGAACCUAAAAUCUCACAUUUGGACGCAUCAGACCAAAGGACAGAUUUCCAAAAACCAUCAAAUGACAGAUUUUUACCUUGUUAGCUCGGGGAUUCAAUCGAGCAACCCUUCGGUUAAUAGCCCAACGCACAGUCACAAAAACCAUCAAGCGCCAUGAAGAAACUGGCUCUCAUGAGGAACGCCCCAGGAAAGGAAGACCCAGAGUUACCUCUGCUGCAGAGGAUAAGUUCAUUAGAGUUAGCAGCCUCAGAUUGCAGCCCAAAUAAAUGCUUCACAGAGUUCAAGUAACAGACACAUCUCAACUGUUCAGAGGACUGCGUGAAUCAGGCCUUCAUGGUUGAAUUUCUACAAAGAAAUCACUACUAAAGGACACCAAUAGGAAGAAGACUUGCUUGGGCCAAGAAACACGAACAAUGGACAUUAGACGUUUGGUCUGAGUCCAAAUUUGAGAUUUUUCAUUCCAACCUCAGUGUCUUGUGAGACGCAGAGUAGGUGAACGGAUGAGCUCCGCAUGUGUGGUUCCCACUGUGAAGCAUGGAGGAGGAGGUGUGAUGGUGUGGGGGUGCUUUGCUGGUGACACUGUCUGUGAUAUAUUUAGAAUUCAAGGCACACUUAAACAGCAUGGCUACCACAGCAUUCUGCAGCGAAACGCCAUCCCAUCUGGUUUGCGCUUAGUGGGACUAUCAUUUGAACAGGACAGUGACCCAAAACACACCUCCAAGCUGUAUAAGGGCUAUUUGACCAAGAAGGAGAGUGACGGUGCUGGCCUCCACAAUCACCCGACCUCAACCCAAUUGAGAUGGUUUGGAAUGAGUUGGACAGCAGAGUGAAGGAAAAGCAGCCAACAAGUGCUCAGCAUAUGUGGGAACUCAUUCUAGACUGUUGGAAAAGCAUUCCUCAUGAAGCUGGUUGAGAGAAUGCCAAGAGUGUGCAAUGCUGUCAUCAAGGCAAAGGGUGGCUACUUUGAAGUAAUAUAAAAUAUAUAUAUUUUGAUUUGUUUAACACUUUUUUUGCUUACUGCAUGAUUCCAUAUGUGUUAUUUUAUAGUUUUGAUGUCUUCACUGUUAUUAUACAAUGUAGAAAAUAAUACAAAUAAAGAAAACCCUUGAAUGAGUAGGUGUGUCCAAACUUUUGACUGGUACUGUAUGUACAUAUUGUAUGUAUAUAUAAAAAAUAUAUGGGGGAUUGGAAAUGAUGCAGACAAUUACUUUGGAUUACAAUUACAAUUACUACAGAAGCUAUAAUCUAUCUGCAAUAUUAUAGCUGAUCUCCCCCCUAAUAGA